GGGGCUGAACGGUUUCGACUGCGUGAGUAGAUCCAAGGGAAGCGUGCCGGUGCAGGCAGGAGACCACCGUAAGCGUCGCUGCAACCAAUUAAGCGCCAACUCCAAGCAGAGCGCUGACUCCUUCGCCCUCGCUGCCUAAGCAGCAGGCGUGAGUCUGUCAGUCCGGGUUCGCCCUCGGCCCGGGUACUGGCAUCAGCUAGAGGGCUCACCGUCAUGAUCGGUCGCGGAGAUUGACGGGACAUCACACAGCGACUGGGGUCGUCAUCCGGACGGGUUCGCGAGAUCCGGAGACCCGAGCAGAGGCAUAGCGGACUGCGCACGGAGAAGCCUCGGUGACACUGCGGAGGACCCGGGUUCGAUUCCCGGCAGCUCCACCG
rnacentral:tmRNA from 1 species